CAGACGGGUGAGUAACGCGUGGGAACAUACCCCUCGGUUCGGAAUAACUCAGGGAAACUUGAGCUAAUACCGGAUACGUCCGAGGUUUUUAUCGGCUUCGGAGAAAGAUUUAUCGCCGGAGGAUUGGCCCGCGUCUGAUUAGCUUGUUGGUGAGGUAAUGGCUCACCAAGGCGACGAUCAGUAGCUGGUCUGAGAGGAUGAUCAGCCACAUUGGGACUGAGACACGGCCCAAACUCCUACGGGAGGCAGCAGUGGGGAAUAUUGGACAAUGGGCGCAAGCCUGAUCCAGCCAUGCCGCGUGAGUGAUGAAGGCCUUAGGGUUGUAAAGCUCUUUUACCCGGGAAGAUAAUGACGGUACCGGGAGAAUAAGCCCCGGCUAACUUCGUGCCAGCAGCCGCGGUAAUACGAAGGGGGCUAGCGUUGUUCGGAAUUACUGGGCGUAAAGCGCACGUAGGCGGAUCUUUAAGUCAGGGGUGAAAUCCCGAGGCUCAACCUCGGAACUGCCCUUGAUACUGGGGAUAUCGAGUCCGGGAGAGGUGAGUGGAACUGCGAGUGUAGAGGUGAAAUUCGUAGAUAUUCGCAAGAACACCAGUGGCGAAGGCGGCUCACUGGCCCGGUACUGACGCUGAGGUGCGAAAGCGUGGGGAGCAAACAGGAUUAGAUACCCUGGUAGUCCACGCCGUAAACGAUGGAUGCUAGCCGUUAGACAGCUUGCUGUUUAGUGGCGCAGUUAACGCGUU
rnacentral:rRNA from 1 species